rnacentral:rRNA from 1 species
GACGAACGCUGGCGGCGUGCCUAACACAUGCAAGUCGAACGGGGGGAACAUGAAGUAUUUCGGUACGGAAUGCGCCCCUAGUGGCGAACGGGUGAGUAACACGUGGGCAACCUGCCCCAGACUGGGGGAUAACAUUGUGAAAACAGUGCUAAUACCGCAUGACAGGGUUCCGGGCAUCCGGGACCCUUGAAAGGAGAAAUCCGGUCAGGGAUGGGCCCGCGUCCAAUUAGCUAGUUGGCGGGGUAACGGCCCACCAAGGCGACGAUUGGUAGCCAAACUGAGAGGUUGAUCGGCCACAUUGGGACUGAGACACGGCCCAGACUCCUACGGAGGCAGCAGUGGGAAUAUUGGGCAAUGGGCGAAAGCCUGACCCAGCGACGCCGCGUGAAGGAUGAAGGUCUUCGGAUUGUAAACUUCUUUGAUCAGGGAAGAAAGAAAUGACGGUACCUGAAAACAAGCCACGGCUAACUACGUG